AGGGAACCCUCUGUGUUCUAUUAGAUAGGGAACCCUCUGUGUUCUAAUAGAUAGGGAACCCUCUGUGUUCUAUUAGAUAGGGAACCCUCUGUGUUCUAAUAGAUAGGGAACCCUCUGUGUUCUAUUAGAUAGGGAACUCUCUGUGUUCUGUUAGAUAUGGAACCCUCUGUGUUCUAAUAGAUAGGGAACCCUCUGUGUUCUAUUAGAUAGGGAACCCUCUGUGUUCUAAUAGAUAGGGAACCCUCUGUGUUCUAAUAGAUAGGGAACCCUCAAGAACAAACAAUGAGGCAUGAGGAUGGGUGUUGAGGGACCACUUGUCACAUUAUUCAAGUCCAACAGGAGUGUGUCCCCCCUCAGGCCAUCCGGUACACAGACAUCCUGUUCCAGUGGGAUCUGAACGCGAGCGUCCAGUUGUGAAGACUACAGGAGAUCGAGCCUGUGGACGUACAGUCCUCCCGGGUUUUUGACCCUUGCCUGCCUUGACUCUGAACCCGCCUGCCCUGACCUCGAGCCCGCCUGCCCUGACCUCGAGCCCGCCUGCCCUGACCUCGAGCCCGCCUGCCCUGACCUCGAGCCCGCCUGCCCUGACCUCGAGCCCGCCUGACCUGACCUCGAGCCCGCCUGACCUGACCUCGAGCCCGCCUGACCUGACCUCGAGCCCGCCUGCCCUGA
rnacentral:lncRNA from 1 species